UACCACAACAAAUUAAAACAAUGUAUGAUCACAAGGGACGGAAAAUCUCCUCGAACGAAUCAAUUUUUUUUUUCACUACGGUGUCCAGGCGGCCGCUGGCGGUGGCGGCGACGAGUAGUCAUACACAGGCAGCUUGGGCAAUGCCCGUGGCGGCGGCGGAGGUGACGGGUACCGCUCCUCAGGUGACACCUCCGAGUACGGCGGGGAAGAAGGCGGUGGAGGCGACGAGUAGUCGUAUUUGGGCAAGCUAGCCGGGGAUGGUGGUGGCGGCGGCGAGAGGUACCGGUCCUCCGGAGACACUUCGUAGUAGGGUGGAGGUGGCGGGUCGUGGUGGAUGGGAGGUGGCGACUCCUGGUGCGCUGGUGGAGGCGGCGAGAGGUAACGCUCCUCCGGUGACUCCUCGUAGUAGGGCGGCGGCGGGACCUCGGUGUAGGCCGGAGGCGGCGGGGAGAGGUACCGUUCCUCUGGUGACUCCUCGUA
rnacentral:lncRNA from 1 species